rnacentral:snRNA from 1 species
UUAAUUACUGGGUAAGGAAGAAACCAGGAUCACAAAGGCAGUGUUCCCACAGCAAGCCUUAACGAUGGCUUUUUCAGGUAUGCUGAUCUCUGUGAUUCCCUGAAAUGUGGCAAACUCACCUGCACAUUUGUGAUAAUUGGCAGUGACAUCUGUGCCCUCCCAA